rnacentral:rRNA from 1 species
UGAGGAAUAUUGGUCAAUGGGAGGAAUCCUGAACCAGCCAUGCCGCGUGCAGGACGACGGCUCUACGAGUUGUAAACUGCUUUUGUAACCGGGGUAAAAUGCUCUACGAGUAGGGUUUUGAAAGUACGGUACGAAUAAGGAUCGGCUAACUCCGUGCC